rnacentral:rRNA from 1 species
AUUGAACGCUGGCGGCAGGCCUAACACAUGCAAGUCGAGCGGAUGAUGGGAGCUUGCUCCUUGAUUCAGCGGCGGACGGGUGAGUAAUGCCUAGGAAUCUGCCUGGUAGUGGGGGACAACGUUUCGAAAGGAACGCUAAUACCGCAUACGUCCUACGGGAGAAAGCAGGGGACCUUCGGGCCUUGCGCUAUCAGAUGAGCCUAGGUCGGAUUAGCUUGUUGGUGAGGUAAUGGCUCACCAAGGCGACGAUCCGUAACUGGUCUGAGAGGAUGAUCAGCCACACUGGAACUGAGACACGGUCCAGACUCCUACGGGAGGCAGCAGUGGGGAAUAUUGGAGAAUGGGCGAAAGCCUGAUCCAGCCAUGCCGCGUGUGUGAAGAAGGUCUUCGGAUUGUAAAGCACUUUAAGUUGGGAGGAAGGGUUGUAGAUUAAUACUCUGCAAUUUUGACGUUACCGACAGAAUAAGCACCGGCUAACUCUGUGCCAGCAGCCGCGGUAAGAC